AUUGAACGCUGGCGGCAGGCCUAACACAUGCAAGUCGAACGAGUGGCGGACGUGUGAGUUAUCUCUGGGACUCUGCCCGAGGGAGGGGGAUCACUUCGGGAAACGGUCGCUAAUACCGCAUACCCUCGUAUGUGCCCAGAUGGGUUUCGCGAGUAGGUGGGGUAACGGCUCACCUAGGCGACGAUCCCUAGCUGGUCUGAGAGGAUGACCAGCCACACUGGAACUGAGACACGGUCCAGACUCCUACGGGAGGCAGCAGUGGGGAAUAUUGCACAAUGGGCGCAAGCCUGAUGCAGCCAUGCCGCGUGUAUGAAGAAGGCCUUCGGGUUGUAAAGUACUUUCAGCGAGGAGGCGUUACUCGCAGAAGAAGCACCGGCUAACUCCGUGCCAGCAGCCGCGGUAAUUC
rnacentral:rRNA from 1 species